CGCCACCCUACCGACACACAGCCUCCUGCCUCACAUAUCAGGUCACAGGACUACGUUCACAAGUGUCGUAACUCUAGCUGAAAACAAGAAGGUGAGUGGAUAUCCAAGUGUACCCCGAACACCAUUACUGUGUUUCCCUGCUGGCAUCAUUUCAUUUUCUUUUGAGUAUCUACAGUCAUGUUCCCCAGUUUCAGGUGGAGGGAGGAGGGACGAGCACAGGUUUCUCAGCUUGUCCUGGUCUUGUUACACAGCGGAGCAGCUGUCUCUUUUCAAGAGGUUUUCUCUGCUUCCACAUUUGCACUCGGCUUGUGCUGGACUGGAGUAUGUUAAGUGAAUUCUAUCUGGGGCCAUAGAUUUUGUUGAUGUGGCAGUUAUGAACUCUGAGGCAGCACCAUAUGGAGCAGAGUGGGGCAUAUAGAGAAAAGAGGGAUGGAUGGCAUUUUUCCCUUGAGC
rnacentral:lncRNA from 1 species